AUACGGAGGGUGCAAGCGUUAAUCGGAAUUACUGGGCGUAAAGCGCGCGUAGGCGGCUGAUUAAGUCGGAUGUGAAAUCCCUGGGCUCAACCUAGGAACUGCAUCCGAUACUGGUGAGCUAGAGUUUUGGAGAGGUAAGUGGAAUUUCCGGUGUAGCGGUGAAGUGCAUAGAGAUCGGAAGGAACACCAGUGGCGAAGGCGACUUACUGGCCAAAAACUGACGCUGAGGUGCGAAAGCGUGGGUAGCGAACAGGAUUGGAAACCCUAGUAGUCC
rnacentral:rRNA from 1 species